rnacentral:rRNA from 1 species
UACGGGGGGAGCAAGCGUUGUUCGGAUUUACUGGGCGUAAAGGGCGCGUAGGCGGCGCAACAAGUCACUUGUGAAAUCUCCGGGCUUAACCCGGAGCGGUCAAGUGAUACUGUCGUGCUAGAGUGCGGAAGGGGCAACUGGAAUUCUCGGUGUAGCGGUGAAAUGCGUAGAUAUCGUCAAGAACACCUAUUGCGAAGGCAGCUUACUAAGCUUUAACUGACACUGAGGCACGAAAGUGUGGGGAUCAAACAGG